GACUGGCGGACGGGUGAGUAACGCGUAGCUAACCUGCCUUUAACUGGGGGAUAACAUUCCGAAAGGGAUGCUAAUACCGCAUAAAGCAACUGGAUCGCAUGAUCCUGGUUGUUAAAAAUUUCGAUUGGUUAAAGAGGGGGCUGCGUGCUAUUAGUUAGUUGGUGAGGUAACGGCUCACCAAGGCGAUGAUAGCUAGGGGGUCUGAGAGGAUGAUCCCCCACACUGGGACUGAGACACGGCCCAGACCUCUA
rnacentral:rRNA from 12 species